CAUAACCCGGGUCAUUUGAUGCGGAAACUCCGAAACCAACAAACCCUGGAACUACUCCACUCUCCCGCGCCAGGAGUUCAGCGGCUCUGCCACUACUCGACGGCUGCAACGGGGUAAACAGGAGAAGGUUAAGCUGACGUAGUGGGUCAGGGAAUCAUGACAAUGACGGACAGCAUUAUUAAACAAGUCUUAAAGCAGUGAGGACGGCAGAAGAAAAAGAGGCAAAAUCAACAGAUCCUGGAACGCUUGGUGGAAGAACAACAGUAUUUGGCUCUAACAGCGGCAGAGGAGAUCUUUGUGAACAUGAUGAAAAAAAUCAGGAGACACUGACCUAUUUGUGGGAUAAUUGUGAGUUGUGACCCUGAGCUCAUGGGCCCCUGGGCCUGGGCUUGCGCCCGGUAGGCCGGUUCGGUAAUCCAUCCCUGCACACACACACACACACACACACACACACACACACACACACAUAAAGUCCAGAAAUGUACUAUGCACAAUGAGGAAAGAUUCAUACCUACACCUAGUGGAUCAGUCAUGAAUUGCAAAUAUGAGAAGAAGAGUGAAAGAUGGCUGUUAGAUGGAUGGAGGGUUCACAUGUGAUCAGCCAGUUCUGCUUUUCAUGUCUGCUGCAAAGCAUCACACUGAUGAACCUUCUGUCUUACCUGAUCCAGCAUGGUAAUGAAACAGCUGUGAUGUGUAUGCAAGGCAAGAGCUUAAUUGGGCAUACAUCAUGCAUUUCGAUGCAAAACCGUAAGGCCUCUUGAUGGAGAUCAUUUCUAAACACUGUUAAUGACUUAAGAAUA